UCAGCCCUAGAGGGUAGAAAGUUUUCCCAA
rnacentral:piRNA from 1 species